rnacentral:rRNA from 1 species
CUAUGCGCCUUGCCAGCCCGCUCAGGUGUGCCAGCAGCCGCGGUAAUACUAGGGGGCAAGCGUUAUCCGGAUUUACUGGGUGUAAAGGGAGCGUAGACGGCGAUGCAAGUCUGAAGUGAAAGCGGGGGCCCAACCCCCGGACUGCUUUGGAAACUGUAUGGCUGGAGUGCAGGAGAGGUAAGUGGAAUUCCUAGUGUAGCGGUGAAAUGCGUAGAUAUUAGGAGGAACACCAGUGGCGAAGGCGGCUUACUGGACUGUAACUGACGUUGAGGCUCGAAAGCGUGGGGAGCAAACAGG